AAAGAUGGGGAGGCACAUGUUGUGCAAUCCCAUGCUAAGCCAAGAAGACACUCUGUCAAGAGGAAGCCGGCGCGUCAUCAGCACCAGGUGGCUCAUAUAGCACCUGUCUUCCGAGAUAAUGCUCAGUAUCAGCAGCCUAAUCAGCAUCAACAACAACCUCAGUAUCAACAGCAGCAUCGUCCACAGCAACCGGCUUACCAGCCUCGUGGCAGUACUAGUAACCAAG
rnacentral:lncRNA from 1 species